CUUGACUAGGUCCUCAUUCCUUAUCUCGACUAACAACCUCUCCAUUAUAUCACCCCUUCCUUUGCUCGAUGAUGCCAUACGCCUGUUCAUCUUCUUCACCAUCUAUAUAACCUCCCCUUCUCUCAUUCAUCUUUGACUAUCUAACGCCUUCGACCAACUGCUUCCCUCACCACCUCCACCGUAUUCUUUCUCUCAAUCUCAAAGCAUACUCCUUUUUAUCCCAUCAAUUUAUCGGUCUCGAUCUUAGAUUGGUUGGAUCAUACAAAUGAUAGUGCAAUAGUGAGGCUAAAGUAAGCAUCAAUCAUUGAACCCCCACCACAAGGCCAAGCGAAAAGCAUAUUAGGGUUCCUAUGAUUUGAUGAAGAUGGAAAAAAUGGUUUAUUCUCACAAUCGAGCCCUAAAUCAAUAUGGAAUCAAGCUUAUUUUUUUACUUUGUCAUUUGCAGUUCCAUCUCUCUUCAACUCUCACAUAACAAUGUCGAUCAUUAAGGUUUAAAUCACCUCCCUCCUAGAUUACAACAAGGUACGUUAUCCUUACAAAUUCCCUUUUUUGGUACAUUUUUAUGUUAUCACAGGUUAUCUAUUAUUAGUUUUUGUCUUUCUUUGAGUCUUAUGGUUUGUAUGUAUUACCUGACCAUCAUCAUCUGUUUUUCGUACACUCGAUAUUGAACAAAAUCAGGAUCAAACAAGAAUCAAGCAAGGCAAAAGUUGAUUCAAAAGCCAUUUACUCACUAAAGUUAUGUUUCAUUUCAUAUUCUAAUCUAUAUGUUAUGUAUACAUUUGUUUUGUGUAUUAGUUCUAUUUUUAUUAGAUUCUCAGAUUUUGUAGGUUCUUCAACCUUUAUGAUUGAUGGUGAAGUUUUUUUUUUCAAGUUAUGUCGAGUCUUAUAUAGCUUGCUUCAAUCUUUUCCUCUAAAAAAUGUGAAAUCUGCAAGUUCAUUGAAUAUUAGUUCCAUCUCCAUCAUCAUUUCACAAAAACAAAUCCAAUGGGCUAUUUAAUUUCAGUGUUCAAUGGAAUAGAAUGGGUUAUUCCAUUGAAAUGAAAAAAACAUCUAUUUUUGAGUUUGUUUUCUUCUUUAGGGUAUGUGAUUUGGGUUUUGUUCUCAUAUUAUGUGGUUUGGGUGUUAACUUUCAUAUGGGUAUCAAAAUUACUGUUUAGUUUUGAUUUUAUAAUUGUUUAAGGUUAAUACAAUUAAAUGGGCUAUCUAAGGACAAAGCGAGUUUACUAAAGUAAGCUUUUACAUAAGCUCUCUCUCUCUCUCUCUCUCUCUCUCUCUCUACUACCUGAUGCAUUAUCUAAGGCCAAAGCAACUUUACUAAAGUGUAAGGAGCUUGUAGUAAAGAUAAAGGAAGAUCCCCUUUCUAAGCCUAAAAUCUACCAUCUAUUGGAAGCAUAAAAAGCUGGUGAAGUUUUUUGUUUGUUUUGUGUAUUAGUUCUGUUUUUAUUAGAUUCUCAGAUUUUGUAGGUUCUUCAAACUUUAUGAUUGAUGGUGAAGUUUUUUGUUUUUUUUCAAGUUAUGUUGAGUCUUAUAUAGCUUGCUUCAAUCUUUUCCUCUAAAAAAAUGUGAAAUCUGCAAGUUCAUUGAAUAUUAGUUUCAUCUCCAUCAUCAUUUCACAAAAACAAAUCCAAUGGGUUAUUUAUUUUCAGUGUUCAGUGGAAUAGAAUGGGUUAUUCCAUUGAAAUGAAAAAAAAACAUUUGUUUUUGAGUUUGUUUUCUUCUUUAGGGUAUGUGAUUUGGGUUUUGUUCUCAUAUUAUGUGGUUUGGGUGUUAACUUUCAUAUGGGUAUCAAAAUUACUGUUUAGUUUUGAUUUUAUAAUUGUUUAAGGUUAAUACAAUUAAAUGGGCUAUCUAAGGACAAAGCGAGUUUACUAAAGUAAGCUUUUACAUAAGCUCUCUCUCUCUCUCUCUCUCUCUCUCUCUCUCUCCCUCCCUCCUGAUGCAUUAUCUAAGGCCAAAGCAACUUUACUAAAGUGUAAGGAGCUUGCAGGAAAAGAUAAAAGAAGAUCCCCUUUCUAAGCCUAAAAUCUACCAUCUAUUGGAAGCAUAAAAAGCUGGUAAAAGGAGUUCAGAAGUCUUGAACUACGGUUACUAAUUUCUCACAGUUUGUGUUUUUUGUUUUUCUGCAACAUUUUUAGAAGUUGUCAUUGCACAUUCAAGGUAAGCAACAAUUUCUAGAGAUUAUUUGGUUAUUGUGGCUGUAGAGAUGACUGAGGGACAUGAUUCAUGGUUAAACUCAUAAACAUCUUCCCAUCAAUGUUAAUUUCAUCUUGAUUUCUCAUGUAUUUGUGUUUUAUAUAUCAUAUAGAGAUUACUUUGGUUUAUUAUUUUAGGUUGCAUAAAUAAAUGAUUAUGUUGUUUUGUCGUUGUUUCUUUUGAAAUGUAAACUGGUUUUGGUGAUUUAUUAAUAUAGUUGUGUUGGUUUGAAUGUAGUAAGAAGUCAUAACACUCCAUCCAAAUAGGGAAAAUGGUAAAUUAUUACCUCUAAUGCAUUUUAUCUGGUAGCUUUUUAUAUUGUUUCCACUUUCUAUUAUCCCUAGCCAACCAUGAGUCUUGGUCUGUGCAAUGAUUUCACCAAAUUAACAUUACCAACAAGGGUACCUAAGUUGUUUUUGGAACUGUAUGUAUAUUAUUAGUGAACAACUAUUAAGAAACAAGUGGGCUUUUUUGUUAAGAUUUUCAUAUUUUCAGAAAGUUAGUUAGGACAUAAUUUGUUGCCUUGGGGAUUUUACCGUGAUAGUUUCUGUUUGGAAUUCCUUCUGUGAUUUUGACCAUUUUACCCCUAUUGGUUCUUGUUGCUUGGUUGCUGCCUUUAUAUUUUUUUGCCCCUGGUUAUUUUUUGGACUCUCAUUCAAGAUGGUGGACAUGGUAGAGCUUACUGUUGUCAAAAAUUUAGGGUAUGUUUUAAUUUGGUCCAUUUUGCCGCUUUUUUUUUCUCUCGUUUUGAAGUUAAACAUGAGAACCAAUUAAACCAGAGCAAUUUUGAUUUUCAUAGUGAAUAAUGGCUUUUCCACAAUAAACUAUUAGUAUGACUUUAAGUUCUACCAAUAAGUCCAAAAUAGACUUCCAAUUCCAAAUGGCCACCAUGUUAGAAAGAUAAAAAAAAGUUAGAAAACUUUAUAUGUGACAAAUAUACAUUGUUGGUUGACUUUUAGAGAAAUGAUCACUACAAAACACAAUAGAAUUUUGAAUUUUUAAGAGCUUGACAACCACCUUUCUUACCAAAGACUUCCACUUCGUUUCUAGCAGGUUGUUAUACUCGAAUCCGAAGCUGGUUUACUCUAAAUAGGAAACAUAUUAAAGCAUGUAUUUUCUCAUAAGAUACUUCUCUUAAGUCACUAUUUACCUACCUUGCUAUCAAGAAUAUUUGGGCUUCGGAAGUUAUAGCUUUUGGGUUUU
rnacentral:lncRNA from 1 species